rnacentral:rRNA from 1 species
AGUGAACGCUGGCGGUAGGCCUAACACAUGCCAGUCGAACGGCAGCACAGUAAGAGCUUGCUCUUACGGGUGGCGAGUGGCGGACGGGUGAGGAAUACAUCGGAAUCUACUUUUUCGAGGGGGAUAACGUAGGGAAACUUACGCUAAUACCGCAUACGACCUACGGGUGAAAGCAGGGGAUCUUCGGACCUUGCGCGAUUGAAUGAGCCGAUGUCGGAUUAGCUAGUUGGCGGGGUAAAGGCCCACCAAGGCGACGAUCCGUAGCUGGUCUGAGAGGAUGAUCAGCCACACUGGAACUGAGACACGGUCCAGACUCCUACGGGAGGCAGCAGUGGGGAAUAUUGGACAAUGGGCGCAAGCCUGAUCCAGCCAUACCGCGUGGGUGAAGAAGGCCUUCGGGUUGUAAAGCCCUUUUGUUGGGAAAGAAAAGCAGCAGGUUAAUACCCCGCUGUUCUGACGGUACCCAAAGAAUAAGCACCGGCUAACUUCGUG